GAUGAACGCUGGCGGCGUGCUUAACACAUGCAAGUCGAACGAAGAUGCCGGAGUGCUUGCACUUUGGCAGACUGAGUGGCGGACGGGUGAGUAACGCGUGGGUAACCUGCCUUAUACAGGGGGAUAACAGUUGGAAACGACUGCUAAUACCGCAUAAGCGCACGGUAUCGCAUGAUACAGUGUGAAAAACUCCGGUGGUAUAAGAUGGACCCGCGUCUGAUUAGCUAGUUGGUGAGGUAACGGCCCACCGAGGCGACGAUCAGUAGCCGGCCUGAGAGGGUGAACGGCCACAUUGGGACUGAGACACGGCCCAAAACUCCUACGGGAGGCAGCAGUGGGGAAUAUUGCACAAUGGGGGAAACCCUGAUGCAGCGACGCCGCGUGAGUGAUGAAGUAUUUCGGUAUGUAAAACUCUAUCAGCAGGGAAGAUAAUGACGGUACCUGACUAAGAAGCACCGGCUAAAUACGUGCCAGCAGCCGC
rnacentral:rRNA from 1 species